rnacentral:rRNA from 1 species
CGAAAGAAAGAUUAAUACCCGAUGUCAUAGUCCUACCGCAUGAUGGGAUUAUUAAAGAAUUUCGGUAUGGGAUGGGGAUGCGUUCCAUUAGUUAGUUGGCGGGGUAACGGCCCACCAAGACAACGAUGGAUAGGGGUUCUGAGAGGAAGGUCCCCCACAUUGGAACUGAGACACGGUCCAAACUCCUACGGGAGGCAGCAGUGAGGAAUAUUGGUCAAUGGACGAGAGUCUGAACCAGCCAAGUAGCGUGAAGGAUGACUGCCCUAUGGGUUGUAAACUUCUUUUAUAUGGGAAUAAAACGUUCCACGUGUGGGAUUUUGUAUGUACCAUAUGAAUAAGGAUCGGCUAACUCCGUGCCAGCAGCCGCGGUAAUACGGAGGAUCCGAGCGUUAUCCGGAUUUAUUGGGUUUAAAGGGAGCGUAGGUGGAUUGUUAAGUCAGUUGUGAAAGUUUGCGGCUCAACCGUAAAAUUGCAGUUGAAACUGGCAGUCUUGAGUACAGUAGAGGUGGGCGGAAUUCGUGGUGUAGCGGUGAAAUGCUUAGAUAUCACGAAGAACUCCGAUUGCGAAGGCAGCUCACUGGACUGCAACUGACACUGAGGCUCGAAAGUGUGGGUAUCGAACAGGAUUAGAUACCCUGGUAGUCCACACAGUAAACGAU